UACAGAGACUGCAAGCGUUAUUCGGAUUCACUGGGCGUAAAGGGUGCGCAGGCGGCCGUGUGUGUGAGGCGUGAAAGCCCGGGGCUUAACCCCGGAAUUGCACCUCAAACUACAUGGCUAGAGCAUUGGGAGAAGGGUAGCGGAAUUCACGGUGUAGCAGUGAAAUGCGUAGAUAUCGUGAGGAACACCAGAGGCGAAGGCGGCUACCUGGACAAUUGCUGACGCUCGAAGGCACGAAAGCGUGGGGAGCAAAAAGGG
rnacentral:rRNA from 1 species